rnacentral:snoRNA from 1 species
CCCGCACAUUGUUAGAGCUUGGAGUUGAGGCCAAUGGGUGGCUGAUAAACUCACAAUUACAGGUGGUGUGCUAUUGAAAAGGCAAGGAUUCACUAAGAGGGAAUCUACUCAAUGGACUGGUCCCAAGAGUUCUGCACAUAU